rnacentral:rRNA from 1 species
UACAGAGGGGGCAAGCGUUAUUCGGAAUUAUUGGGCGUAAAGGGCGCGUAGGCGGCUUUGCAAGUGACGGGUGAAAUCCCUCGGCUUAACCGAGGAACUGCCUGUCAGACUGUGAGGCUUGAGACCGGGAGAGGGGAGUGGAAUUCCCAGUGUAGCGGUGAAAUGCGUAGAUAUUGGGAGGAACACCAGUGGCGAAGGCGGCUCACUGGACCGUAACUGACGCUGAGGUGCGAAAGCUAGGGGAGCAAACGGG